rnacentral:rRNA from 1 species
GACGAACGCUGACGGCGUGCUUAACACAUGCAAGUCGAAGGGAGUGGCGAACGGGUGAGUAACACGUGAGUAACCUGCCCUUUUCUUUGGGAUAAGCCUGGGAAACUGGGUCUAAUACUGGAUGGAUUGGGAUGGGCUCGCGGCUUAUUAGCUUGUUGGUGGGGGGAUGGCUUACCCAGGCUUUGACGGGUAGCCGGCCUGAGAGGGGGGUCGGUAACACUGGGACUGGGAUGCGGCCCAGACGACGACGGGAGGCAGCAGUGGGGGAUAUUGCACAAUGGCCGAAAGUCUGAUGCAGCGACGUCGUGUGGGGGAUGAAGGCCUUGGAGUUGUAAACUCCUUGAGCCCGCGGAAUGGUAGUGGGUAAAGAAGCGCCGGCUAACUACGUGCCAGCAGCCGCGGUAAUAC